rnacentral:rRNA from 1 species
ACGUAGGGUGCAAGCGUUGUCCGGAAUUAUUGGGCGUAAAGAGCUCGUAGGCGGUUUGUCGCGUCUGCUGUGAAAACGCGAGGCUCAACCUCGCGCCUGCAGUGGGUACGGGCAGACUAGAGUGUGGUAGGGGAGAUUGGAAUUCCUGGUGUAGCGGUGGAAUGCGCAGAUAUCAGGAGGAACACCGAUGGCGAAGGCAGAUCUCUGGGCCAUUACUGACGCUGAGGAGCGAAAGCGUGGGGAGCGAACAGG